ensembl:lncRNA
AAAUUAUUUUACUGCUAUUGUUAAAUAAUUGUUAUUGCAUUAAUAAUAUAAUUUGCAGCAUGGAUAUUGCACUCCAAGGUUUAAACAGUGUCUCUUUCAGAAAGACUGAGUUGCAGGCUGACAGGAAGUUGUAUGCAGAAGUGAAACCAGGAAGUUAUUUUGAGCCGCAGGCUAAGACGAGGCUUUAACAAUAUAACAGAUAGCUUUAUCAUUUUAUAUUAAGGUUUUAGUAGAGGUUCUUGAUUAAAACAUUUAUUUAGUAGAAGACAUACACAUAGUCUCAGUGAGCUUCUGGUCUGGUAAAAGGUCAGAAGUGCAACAGGUGAAUUGAGAAAGAGCAUGUGAGGUCAACACACACACACACACACACUUUAAAUUAGAUUUAUUUAGAGGAAGAGGUUAGUUAUGUUUGGCUGUAACUACAAAAUUGUCUCGGUAAAAGAGGAACCGUUUCUUGUUGUCUCGGCAAGAAAGAGGAACAAUUCAUUUUAAGAUAAGAACGGAAAGUACCAAGCCAUGAAAAUAGGAGAUGAUUUUCUAGGGGAAAAGUCAUGAAGAUGUUAGUUAUGUUUGGCUGUAACUACAAAAUUGUCUCGGUAAAAGAGGAACCGUUUCUUGUUGUCUCGGCAAGAAAGAGGAACAAUUCAUUUUAAGAUAAGAACGGAAAGUACCAAGCCAUGAAAAUAGGAGAUGAUUUUCUAGGGGAAAAGUCAUGAAGAUGUUGAUCUGAUCUAUGUAUAAAAUGUGUCUGUGACGUAUGAAGGGGCGUCAGUAAACAAACCCUGAUGCUAUAAAAUAUCUGUUCAUGCUUUGAUUAAGUCGAAGACUACUGGCUGUCUGCGUACAGAGUUCUCUUCCCACGCGUGUAUUCAUUAAAAUCAUCGUUUGACUUCACCCGGCCGGAUCGGUGUGGUUAUUCUUCGAUCACCUCUUGUACCCUUCCUCAAUAAUGAAUCUUAACAUUAGCCAACCCAAUAUCACUAUCAGUCACCACUGAUGGAGAUUUUAGAGAAUCUAAACAUCCGGACAUCCGGUAAGAGGCUGUUUUCUUAGUGAAAAGUUUUUUCCCAUUACAGCCAUGGAAAAUUAGUUAGCC